ACGCAAGUGCCCCUGUCUCAUUAGUAUUAAUAAAAAUUACCAAUCAGGUGAAGAGGCCUGAAUAAAAUAAAAAGACAAAAAGACCCUAUGGAGCUUUAUUUAAAUCCCUAAUCACACCAGCCCUACACCACCCCACCUUAGGCAAAUAAAUUUAGUUGGGGCGACUAAGGAAAACCAUAAAUCUUCCUCCCUAAAAAGAAAAUAAAUCCCGAUUGAUCCGUUAUACGAAUAUAGACACAGCUACCCUAGGGAUAACAGGCUAAUUCUUCUCGAGAGCCCAAAUUGACAGAAGAGGUUGGCACCUCGAUGUUGGCUUAGGGUUUCUAUAAGAUGCAGAAGUCUUAUAAGUGGGUUUGUUCAACCCUUAAAACCCU
rnacentral:rRNA from 1 species